AAGAAUUUAAGUUAUUAAAUAAACUACUGACCUUCAAAGUCAGAAAAAGAAGUAUCUAAUUCUUAA
rnacentral:tRNA from 1 species